rnacentral:rRNA from 1 species
AUGCGGGCAGAACUGAUCAAGGAGGAGGAGGAGGAGGAGAAGAACCUUAACAUUGCUCGCGAGACGAGGGAGUUAAAUGCGGGGGCAGGACGCGAGCGAACGGUUGCAUUGAUUCAUGGCGAGAGACAGAAAAAUCGGGCCAAGAACAGUGGAGCACGUCAUGGAGCGUGCUGCUACAGUCCUGCUGCAUGGAUCAUGGCGCUCAUUUUUUUUUCCUCGGAUCAAUGGAGGGGAUGGGAAGCAUUGGUCUGUGCAAAAUUAAGCUACCCCGUGCCCGAACAAAUGCCCGAAGUGAGUGAGGAGGCGGGGAGGAAAAUGGCUAAGCAAAGAACGGAAUGCAACAGUUGUCUAUCUUCUUUAGGUGUGGCAAUGGCACGCAGGUGGUAG